UACAGGGGGUGCAAGCGUUGUCCGGAUUUAUUGGGCGUAAAGAGCGUGUAGGCGGCUUUACAGGUCCGUUGUGAAAACUCGAGGCUCAACCUCGAGACGCCGGUGGAAACCGUAAAGCUAGAGUCCGGAAGAGGAGAGUGGAAUUCCUGGUGUAGCGGUGAAAUGCGCAGAUAUCAGGAGGAACACCCGUGGCGAAAGCGGCUCUCUGGGACGGUACUGACGCUGAGACGCGAAAGCGUGGGGAGCAAACAGG
rnacentral:rRNA from 1 species